AACCAUCUUUCGAAUUAAAAGAGUCGCAUAACUCUUAAAAAGGAGAUCAUGGAGAUAUAGUUAGAGGAGAGAAAAAAAAUCUAUGAUAUAUUUGAUCUACUUUCUUGUUAGAUAGGUACAACUAUGGAUUUAUGGACUUAUAGACAAAAUAAGUUUUAUUUGUAUGUGACAACAUAUUUUAUUGAUGAUGAUUGAAAUUUGAAAUAAAAAUAAUUAACUUUAUGCAUGUGGAAGGAA
rnacentral:lncRNA from 1 species